ACUCACUCUCACUCUCACUCUUCUUCUCGUGUGUGCAGAGUCUGAGCUUCAUUUAUGGUUUUGAAACCCAGAUUGAUACGGCUAUUGAAUGGUAAGAGGAUCUCAAAUGUUCUCUCCUUUUUCCAAUCCCGUUACCCAUUCUCCUAUGCAGCAGCACUCGCAUCUCUGCAAGCUUUACCAAAUAAUGGGCUCGAAAUCAAGACCGAAGACUUCAAUUUUAAUACUCUCUUCCUCUCCUGUACAAAAAUCCACCUCGCCAAACGCCUCCACGCGCUUCUUCUGGUUUCUGGGAAUGCCCAGGACAUCUUCUUCUCAACCAGGCUUGUCAACCUAUAUGCCAACGUCGGCGAUAUCGUCUCCUCUCGCCUCACCUUCGAACAAAUUCGUAAAAAAAAUAUCUUUGCCUGGAAUUCGAUGAUCUCUAGUUAUGUUCGUACUGGAUGUUUCCAUGAAGCCCUGGACUGUUACUACCAGUUGCUCACAACAUCGAGUGUUCGACCUGAUUUCUUUACUUUCCCUGUCGUGUUGAAAGCUUGUAAUGAUCUAGGCGAUGGCAGGAAGAUUCACUGUUGGGUUUUGAAAUUGGGUUUUAUCCCGGAUGUCUUUGUGGCUGCUUCAUUGAUUCAUAUGUAUUCAAGGCUUGGGCUUGUGAGUGAUGCUCAUAGGGUGUUUGAUAAAAUGACCAUUCGAGAUUUGGGGUCAUGGAAUGCAAUGAUUUCUGGAUUUUGUCAAAGUGGGAAGGCCCCAGAGGCAUUGGAUGUGUUUGAGGAUAUGAUCUGGGAAGGGGUGAAGAUGGAUUCGGUUACUGUCUCCAGUGUUCUUCCUGUUUGUGCUCCAUUGGACAAUCUUUUGAUGGGAAUGUUGAUUCACGCGUAUGUUAUCAAGCAUGGGUUGGAGUUUGAUGUGUUUGUGUCCAAUGCUUUGAUUAACAUGUAUGCCAAAUUAGGCUGCUUGGGGUCUGCAAGUCGUAACUUUGAUCAAAUGUUGGUGAGAGACUUGGUAUCAUGGAACUCAAUCAUUGCGGCACAUGAGCAGAACAAUUACCUAAUCACAGCUCUUGACCUUUUUGUUGAGAUGAAGCAGAACAGUUUUCAACCUGAUGUGUUGACUCUGGUGAGCUUAGCAUCCAUAGUUUCUCAAUCUGGGGAUUGUCAUAACAGCAGGGCUAUACAUGGUUUUAUCAUGAGGCGGGGUUGGCUUACAGAAGAUACUGUCAUUGGCAAUGCAAUUGUUGAUAUGUAUGCUAAAUUGAGCAAUAUUGACUCUGCAAGAAGGGUCUUUGAAGGAAUGCAGGUCAAAGAUGUGAUCUCCUGGAAUACUUUAAUCACAGGCUAUACUCAAAAUGGUCUUGCAAGUGAGGCUGUUGAGGUUUACCACAUGCUUGAAGGCUGCAGGGGAAUAAUACUAGACCAAGGAACAUUGGUAAGCAUUCUGCCAGCGUACUCCCAAUUAGGAGCCUUGCAACAUGGUAUGAGAAUCCAUGGACGAGCAAUCAAGACCGGUCUCCAUGUGGAUGUUUUCGUGGGUACUUGUAUUAUGGACAUGUACUCCAAAUGUGGGAGGUUAGAUGAUGCAAUGUACUUAUUCCUUGAAGUGCCUCAUAGGAGUUCAGUCCCAUGGAAUGCUAUAAUAUCAAGUCAUGGAAUUCAUGGACAUGGUGAGAAAGCACUAAUCCUUUUCCAGAAAAUGCAAGACGAGGGGGUUAAGCCUGAUCAUGUCACCUUUGUAUCUCUGUUGUCAGCCUGCAGUCAUGCAGGCUUGGUUGAACAGGGACAAUGGUGCUUUCAGUUGAUGCAGGAGCGCUAUGGGAUUGUACCUAGUUUGAAGCACUAUGGGUGCAUGGUGGACUUGCUUGGUCGAGCAGGGCAGUUGGACAGUGCCUAUGAGUUUAUAAAGAACAUUCCUGUUAAACCAGAUGCUUCUGUCUGGGGUGCUCUUCUAGGUGCUUGCAGGAUUCACGGCAAUGUUGAAUUGGGGACUUUUGCUUCGGAUCGCUUAUUUGAAGUGGAUUCGGGGAAUGUUGGCUACUAUGUUUUAUUAUCAAACAUUUAUGCUAACAUUGGGAAGUGGGAGGUGGUGGACAAUGUAAGAUCACUGGCAAAAUCUAGGGGAUUGAAGAAGACCCCUGGUUGGAGCUCAAUUGAGCUGAACAAUAAAGUCCAUGUAUUUUACACUGGGAAUCAGUCUCACCCACAAAUUGAGGAUAUCUACAAUGAGUUGGGGGUACUAUUGGCUAAGAUGAAGAGCCUUGGUUAUGUGCCCGAUUUUAGCUUCGUAUUACAGGAUGUUGAGGAAGAUGAGAAGGAGCAUAUCCUCAUGAGUCAUAGUGAGAGGCUCGCUAUUGCAUUUGGGAUUAUUAGCACCCCACCCAAUACUCCUAUUCGAAUUUUCAAGAAUUUGCGGGUUUGUGGGGAUUGUCACAAUGCUACCAAGCUCAUAUCAAGGAUCACUGUGAGGGACAUUGUUGUGAGGGAUUCAAACCGUUUCCAUCAUUUCAAGGAUGGGAAUUGCUCUUGUGAAGAUUAUUGGUGAUGAUAUUCUUCAAUUGUUCUGGAAAAUUACAAGUUGAUUAUUGAUUACAUCAACAAAGAAAUAUCCGAAAUGGUUGGCUUGAUCUUUUCUCUUGCUGCUAAGAAGAACAGUUUUGUGCUGCCUUUUGGAAGGAUAAAUGUACCAUCUAAUGAGAAGGGACGCAUAGUGACCAAGUUAUCAAAUACAGAUCAAGGCAUUGGCUGUGCAGGGUAUUGAUUUGGAGGUUGCUGAGGUGACUAUGAAGCCAUGACAUUUGGGUGCAUCACUGCUGACUUGAUAAAUGGGGCUAAUCUGUGUUCUCUGGUUUUGGUAUCACUGCCGGAACUGCUGAAAAUGUGGGAAGGGGAAGCCAGAGAA